UACGUAGGGUGCGAGCGUUAAUCGGAAUUACUGGGCGUAAAGCGUGCGCAGGCGGUUUGUUAAGACAGAUGUGAAAUCCCCGGGCUUAACCUGGGAACUGCAUUUGUGACUGGCAAGCUAGAGUAUGGCAGAGGGGGGUAGAAUUCCACGUGUAGCAGUGAAAUGCGUAGAGAUGUGGAGGAAUACCGAUGGCGAAGGCAGCCCCCUGGGCCAAUACUGACGCUCAUGCACGAAAGCGUGGGGAGCAAACGAGG
rnacentral:rRNA from 1 species